CCUACGGGCGGCAGCAGUCGAGAAUCAUUCACAAUGGGGGAAACCCUGAUGGUGCGACGCCGCGUGGGGGAAUGAAGGUCUUCGGAUUGUAAACCCCUGUCAUGUGGGAGCAAAUUAAAAAGAUAGUACCACAAGAGGAAGAGACGGCUAACUCUGUGCCAGCAGCCGCGGUAAUACAGAGGUCUCAAGCGUUGUUCGGAAUCACUGGGCGUAAAGCGUGCGUAGGCUGUUUCGUAAGUCGUGUGUGAAAGGCGCGGGCUCAACCCGCGGACGGCACAUGAUACUGCGAGACUAGAGUAAGGGAGGGGGAACCGGAAUUCUCGGGGUAGCAGUGAAAUGCGUAGAUAUCGAGAGGAACACUCGUGGCGAAGGCGGGUUCCUGGACAUUAACUGACGCUGAGGCACGAAGGCCAGGGGAGCGAAAGGGAUUAGAUACCCCUGUAGUC
rnacentral:rRNA from 1 species